AAACUAACCAGGAUUCCCCUAGUAACGGCGAGUGAAGCGGGAAGAGCUCAAGCUUAAAAUCUCCAUGCAAGUUUUGCAUGGCGAAUUGUAGUCUAUAGAGGCGCUGUCAGUGCAGCUAUUUGGGAUAAGUUCCUUGGAAGAGGACAGCAUCGAGGGUGAUACUCCCGUUUGUGCCUGAGUAGCUUGUGCGUACGACACGUUUUCUUUGAGUCGCGUUGUUUGGGACUGCAGCGCAAAGUAGGUGGUAAAUUCCAUCUAAAGCUAAAUAUUGGUGCGAGACCGAUAGCGAACAAGUACCGUGAGGGAAAGAUGAAAAGAACUUUGAAAAGAGAGUUAAAGAGUACCUGAAACUGCUGAAAGGGAAGCGAAUCGUAUCCAGUGUCUAUAAUCUGUGGCAUAUUUCAUUGGCGAGUAGGUGCGUGCAGUAUGUAGGAAGUGGUUUUCUGCUCCUUGUGCUGUUGUGCGUUUGCUUGUUGGUGCCCUGUGUCGCGGUGGGACGUCAGAGUCAGUUCGUAUGCUGUGAGAAAUGGCUACUGAGGAGGUAGGCUAGGAGCUUGCUCUUGGCUGUUAUAUCUUGGUAGUUAGUUGUCGUGGUUGGGACUGAGGUGCCUACAACGUGCUUUAAAGUCUUGGGGACUCUCGUUUGGUUACCUGUUUGGAUAGCUUGCUAUGCUGACGGUGUGACUGUGCGAUUGAGGUCUUGGGUAACUUUUGCCGUUCGGGACUUUGACGAAAUGGAGCGAUUCGGC
rnacentral:rRNA from 1 species